AGCACUGUAGUUUAGCUGGUUAAGGCAGCUGCCUACAAACCAGAAGGGUCUGGGUUCAAAUCCCAGUGGUGCAU
rnacentral:tRNA from 1 species